UCGCUCAGGCUGCACAGGUUUACACCCUCGCCCCGCCCCUCCCGGCCACACGUGCGCCGCGCUGUGCCCCACUCGUCUGACGCAGUUUUAUCUCGCCUUCAAAAUCUGCCUACAUCAUUGAGUUGUGGCUCGCAUGUCCUUCCUCACGUCACGCAGCAGCACUGGUUUUCGAACAACCUCGCUCUGGCUAUUCACUCUCACGGACUGGUGCUCUUACCCGCUGGACCACUGCGCCCUCCAAUACACUAUAUAAGUAUGAGGAUCGUAGUGUCAGCCUAUCGUGAUGUUUGCCCCUCGGAACGCCACCACGGGAGAGGCUCAUGCAGUGUCCUCUCUCUUGUCGGCACGUGCUGUCCCUUGCACCCUCAAGAUCCACCUUGCUCCUGUACGGCUCCUGUACACAGGCUGUCAUCUUGUCUUCCUUUACAUUAGGAUCGCUUGUCCUGUGGAAGUCCACCACGGUCGAGGCUGCUGAACUCCUUCCUCUCGUCAGCGCGCUGUUCGGUAUCAUUCAUCCAGGAGGGUUGUGGCACCUGACGGACCACGCACAGUUGAAGGAAGAGAGUCUCGUGGUGGAUGGGGAAGCUCCACACAAUACGUACCUGAAAAGAGCAAAUGUCACCAGAAACAUUUUUAGGCACGAAGUUUUUUU